CUCUUUUCAGUUGUGCCCAGUGCCAGGACAAGAGGCAAUGGGCACAAACUGGAACACAGGAAGUUUCUGCUGAACAUCAAGAUGCACUUCUGUACUGCAUGGACAGCUGAACACUGACACAGGUUGUCUCAGCAGACUGUAGCAUCUCCAUCCUUGGAGAUAUUCAAAAGCUACAUGGACACAGUCCUGCUUGAGCAGUGAGGGUGUACCAGAUGAUCUCUGGAGGUCCAGCCUCAACCAUUCUGUGAUACUGUAGUCUUCAUCACUAAGAAGAAGUUAGAUAGCACCCAAUGAGCCUGGCCCAAUCAGCCUGACUUGUGGUUGAUUUCCACAGUUUAGAAAAGUGAAAAGUUUGUGGUAACUGAAAUAACUACUGGAGAGUGUCUUUGUCUCCUAAGACAAUCUGACUGCCUGGAGAGAAAUGGGCUGCCACACUUCAGUGUGUGUGGAUCCCAUCACUGUACUGGAAACCAUGUAUGAGAGACCUAGCUAAUCUUACCAGUGGGGAUACUGGAAGUAGCCGUUACUCAGUCAACAAGCUAGAUUAUUAUGUUUCAAAGAGACAAAGGUUUCUGAGAGCCACAAGCACUCUAUUGCUAGUGAGCUGAAAUGUAAGCUUGGGAAUUUAAUUGAUGUCAUGUUAUUUUUUUAAAGAAUUGGGUCAAGUGCCAGAACUUUUAUACAGGGAGUACUUUGAGUCAUUGCCAUCCCUGGGCAGGCUCCAAGCAGUGAUUUUUAAUAGGAUUUUGGGCUAGUGAGCCAGUGAUAAAUAAGCUUCCAUGAGUUUCUAUGUACUUCUUUCUGCCUUGCAGUUUCAUUUACCUGAGCCAGUUCUUGAACCAGCCAAUUUUCAGACAUGAUCUCAGUUCAGAUUGGUGUUGGGAAAACAAGGAAACUACAGAAUAAAAAUUCAGCAGUGAAGGAGAUAGACUGAAAGCUUCUCAGCUCCGUUGACUGUAGAAUGCCUAGGAAGAUCCAUACACAAUAAAAGGACUGGUGACAGGAUGAAACCCUAUGGAAUUGCAUAUAUGUACUUGUGCAUAUGUCAGGACUGAUGUGAUCUCUGCUGUACCAUUCUUCACAGUAGCUGAGAUGGAGAGUGGAAGAUAUUCCUUCAUGUGCUUCAAAGUACUGUAGCAGUAUUAAUUGAUAGACUGAGAGCCUGAUCUAUCUGCGGGAUCACACGAGGCCUACACUAAAAUACUUCUACUGUAUGGAAAAAUAUUUAUCUGAGGAUUUCUGGCCUGACUUUUGGAUGAAGAAAGUGUGUUGAGGACCACUUAGUUUUUGAUUUAGUGUGUGAUCCUAGGACUUCCCAUAAACAUGCAAGCCACUCUUCCUUUGGUCUAAAAACUUUGAAUCCUCUAUGAGUCACUCUUACUUCCAAUACGUUUCCAGGCCAUCUGACCCCUCCAGGAUUCUGCAGGACUUGUGUCAUUGCAUUAUACACUGCUGAGAUGAGCAUAACAGACUAUUGCAUGCAGAGCCAAUGCUGUAUUUGGGUCACAACUGGAUGGUAAAAUUUCUAAAUGCAUUCUUUAACCAUCUAAGAAUAGACUGAGUAAUGGGAAUAUUACUCAGUAAAGUCUUAGCUUGAAUCUGAUGAAUUUAAUCUUCAGAACUGUCAAAAAUCUCCACCGAACCAAGAAAAUGCCAGGAUUUCUUUGCACUGUUUGUAACUUCUGGAGUUAUCUCACCAGACAGGGAUUUCUGCCUCCUGAGAUUUCAGUCACGACAACACCUUAAGGAAGUGAAAGGAAAUUUGUCCUUAGCUGUCCAAUUAAUCCUCACUACUUUCUCUGUGUUGCUUAAGUUUUGAGUAAAUGUGAAUGGUGUAAGUAAACAGUACAUCUGAUAAAUGUAAAUUUUAUUUUUUCUGUUUGCUGGUAGUUCUAUGCCUGUGUGAUCCAUGGAUAAAAACUCUUGAAAAAUAGUCAUAAAAUAAACGAUAGCACUGUAAUAAUAAAAAUUAUAAGCAUAGCCAACUAGUGAAUUAAGUAUCUGUGAUUUAUAAAAAUCACAGGGACACUGUUAAUUUCUUUUUCAACAAAACAUUCUGCUCCUCUUUCAUACAGGUCAGGGAAGACCACAGAUACUUAUGUUUAGCUUGUUUAUUCACUUACUGUCUUAAGGAUGCCCCAUGAGUUUUGAAUCAUUUGCUAAUUUCAACACAGAAACUACCUAAUAUCCAGGCUAUAAGUAAUCUCCCUGAAGCUACAGCUGUACUGUUCUUAACUACCCAGCUUGCUUUUGUUAAAGUCACCGUGUAAACACUUGUGCAAGUUUUAGUCAAAGUCCUGCACUGUAGAUGUACCUAAUAGUAUUUGAAGAGCAGUGUCUCAGAAAAUACAUACGUUCAUCUUCGAUUGGCAACAGAGUAUGCUGAUGUGAAAGGCAGAGCUGGGGCAGAAGGUAAAACACAAGGCAGAAUAACGUCUGUAUCAACAGACUUGGAAACAUAAAAAGUAUUAGACUUGUAUGAUGUUUACUAAGUAUUUUGAAAGCAUUUUGAAAGUUGUCUCCUACUAAAAUUCAAGUCAGCAGGAUAGAGAGAAAUUUAAAGUCUUCCCAGUUUUUGAGCAAAAAGAAUUGCUGAUAGCAAUUACUCCUUGCCAGAUGUGUGUUCCAGCAGUUUUGGGAUCCAGUGAGGCUGGAAACAGUUCAAGAAAGAGAACAGGCUGCUGAGUAAAGAAACACAUACUGGUGAGAAAGUCUUGUAACCAAAUUCUCCAGAGCACUCUGGAAAUAACACCUCACAGUAGAAUAAACUCAGUUUAUGAGUGAAAGGUCAUAACAAUGCUGCUGAUGCUAUAGGAAGCCUGAGUCCCAAGUGCCAUCAACAAAGAAUGUUAGGAUGAGAGUCCUACAUCUAAGGGAACUUAAGUGCUCUCUUGUAUGCGUCAGUGGAAAACCUGAGAUUUAGCCUCACUUGUGAAACUGUCAUCCUGAUUAAGCUCUUCUGGAGGAAUACUGGAUAUAUGAGCUGCAGUCUAUGGACAUAGCUACAACUGAAGCUACGAUGUAUUUGAGUCUGAUCCUGUUACUCAGUAUGAGAGAAAUGGAGAAAUAGAUGGUAUCUUCAUCUGGUUCAGUCUUCAGCUGAACUGCCAUGUGAUCCCACUGGCAGCACUGAGGAAGGGAAGCAGUCCUUGUAGAAAGAAGUCUAAAUCUUCUGCUGCUCAGCCUGCAUACUAUCCUUUGAGAUGUUAAAUCCCUCCUUCAAUCUAUGUGAUCAGAUUUCAAAGAGUAACAAAGCACUGGAGGGAUUUCAUACAGAGCUGUAAUUCGUAGUUUAAAUGAAAAUGAUAAAGGAAAGGUGAGUUUUGAUUCUUCUUGUAAUGUCACUGGAUAAUACUGUUUGUCAAGCUCCUGCAUUAUCAUUCUGUGCUGAAACAACAAAGCCCAUGGAUGUGGGAUGAGAUAGAGCGUAGUGUUAGAAAUAAUAUGAUACGCUAUUCUGCGUCCAAAUCAAUUCUAGCAUUCAUAGAAAAUGCUUGUGUAUCUGAUUAUUUUAUUACUGUUAUGGUUGUUAAAAUGCUGGUCUGAAAGCAAAUCAAGCUUGUCAGAUAGGACAAGCAGCUUGUAUUUUUAGAAAUGAAUGUUUUUCCUCAUAAGCAGCAUCUCAAAUCCUUUGCACAAAAAAUCACCUUCUGAUCGUGGGUCCUUGAGAAUGGGAUACAGCAUUCAAAUCAUUAAUGCACAAAGAUGUUUUCAGGCAAAAAUAGCAUAUAGUCUUUUUAAUUGAAAUCAGAAGGUCACUUGUGUCAGAUUUUAUGAAGAAGAUUAACACUGCUAUUCUCUAGCCUGUUUGAUGAGUCUUACUAUUUUCAUUCUAAGAUUUAUGCCUCAGGCAAACAAUUUAUAUUAUGAACAAUAGAAUAUUCUAAAUUAUUUCCUUAGAGAUGUAUGUUCUGCAUUCUCAGUUCAACGUUGUAACCCACCCUAUUCUACAGCAUGCCACUGCAUCUGAGUAAGCAUCAGUAUGAGCAAUGACUUGCCCAAAGCCAUAUUAAUAGAGGUGCGUAUGUCUUAGUUGGUCAGUCAACUGAUGCAAAGCAUAAGUCGUGUAUACAUAUGUAUAAUGAUUGAUUUAUUUUUGAAACUUGUAAAAAAUGCAUUUACCCUUUGCCUCUUUACCAAUUUAAUCAGAUGACCCCUUUAGGUGUCACCCAACCUGAAUCAUUCUGUCAUUCAACAUUGUUAAAAUUCAGUUACGGUUGGACAUUUAAGCAGUUGGAUUCAUCCAACCUGAAUUAUUUUGCCAUUAAUACUAAUUUCAAAUUUGAUUAGAACUGGCCAACAUGUUCAAAUAUUCUAAGACAUGGAGUAAUGGAGGCACAAACUGGCGGUAACUGUGGAAGUUUUGCUUUCUCACAGAAUCAGGCUACUGUAGCAUUCUAAGCAAUGGGCUCUUGUACUGGCACUUCUGUGUUGCUAACUCAUGCUCUGCUUCUCAUAUUACCAAGGUUUACUUUCAGCAUCUGUUCAAUAAAUAUUCUCCUGACAAUGCUGAAAGGAAAUGUAAUAGGACUGUAAUGACCUAUUAGAUUUUAGCAUGAUGUAAACUAAGCCAAUUCUCAUUACAAUAAUGUGUAUUUGUUUUAAGACUGUGGUCUUGUUUAUUUUUACAGAAGAAUAGGACAUCCAUAGGAAUGGUUUUUUAUUAAUGACUUCUCCUGUGCUUGUUAUUAGUCACCAGCUGACACCUCUUCCAGUCAGUCUUUAUUCCUAGAAUUGCAUCAUGCAACAAAUACAUCUUGACAUUCUUUGCUGUUGAUGCAAGAACUGAACAAGUCUGAAUUGUUAUUCAAGUUCCUGUUUUAACUUACUGUCAUCAUCCCGUGGUAAAUCCUUUCUGUUUAAUUGUAUCAAAACUAUAUUUUGUAUGUUUAUUCCUUUUGGUGAUAACUUGGUUGUCAUAACCAUGGUUGUAAAAAAAAAAAAAAAAGAGAAAAGAUGAACUAUUGAGAACAAGGGAAAGAUAGAUCUUUUACUAGAGAAAUACAGCUAAGUGUCCUUCUUCAAGUAUUAAUUGAGUUCUAUCAGUAGAUCUUUGGUAAUUCCUUUUUUCCUUUACACUGCCUUCAAGAUCCUUUUUGGUCACAGAAGAAUGCUUGUUUUCUUAAUGAUUGUGUUAUUAACUAUUUGUUGAACGCUGAAAUUUGGCCUUGUUUAUUUUGUUUGUUGAUUCAUUGUUUGCCUACCAACACAGCAAACUCAUUUGUGCAUUGAUCUAUUUCUGUUUAUUUAGUGUAUCACUGAUACUUCUUUAAUUAACAUCUGCAUUCUUUUGUGGCUUAGAAUAAAUUGACAGACUUUAACCUGUGUUCCGUCUUUUGAUCAUUUUCAGUCAAGGUUUUGAGUAUGUCUGCUGACAUAAAUAUACUAAUG
ensembl:lncRNA